UACGAAGGGGGCUAGCGUUGCUCGGAAUUACUGGGCGUAAAGCGCACGUAGGCGGCUUCUUAAGUCGGUGGUGAAAUCCUGGAGCUCAACUCCAGAACUGCCUUUGAUACUGGGAAGCUCGAGUCCGGGAGAGGUGAGUGGAACUGCGAGUGUAGAGGUGAAAUUCGUAGAUAUUCGCAAGAACACCAGUGGCGAAGGCGGCUCACUGGCCCGGUACUGACGCUGAGGUGCGAAAGCGUGGGGAGCAAACAGG
rnacentral:rRNA from 1 species